UACGUGAGGGUGCGAGCGUUAAUCGGAAUUACUGGGCGUAAAGAGCGCGCAGGCGGUCGUUCAAGUCGCGUGUGAAAGCCCCCGGCUCAACUGGGGAGGGUCACGCGAUACUGAUCGACUCGAAGGCAGGAGAGGGAAGUGGAAUUCCCGGUGUAGUGGUGAAAUGCGUAGAUAUCGGGAGGAACACCAGUGGCGAAGGCGACUUCCUGGCCUGUUCUUGACGCUGAGGCGCGAAAGCUAGGGGAGCAAACGGG
rnacentral:rRNA from 1 species